GAUAUUGCACAAUGGGCGCAAGCCUGAUGCAGCGACGCCGCGUGAGGGAUGACGGCCUUCGGGUUGUAAACCUCUUUCAGUUGGGAAGAAGUCCCUUUUUGGGGUGACGGUACUUUCAGAAGAAGCACCGGCUAACUACGUGCCAGCAGCCGCGGUAAUACGUAGGGUGCGAGCGUUAUCCGGAAUUAUUGGGCGUAAAGAGCUCGUAGGCGGUUUGUCGCGUCUGCUGUGAAAUCUCGAGGCUUAACCUUGAGUUUGCAGUGGGUACGGGCAGGCUGGAGUGCAGUAGGGGAGACUGGAAUUCCUGGUGUAGCGGUGAAAUGCGCAGAUAUCAGGAGGAACACCGAUGGCGAAGGCAGGUCUCUGGGCUGUUACUGACGCUGAGGAGCGAAAGCAUGGGGAGCGAACA
rnacentral:rRNA from 1 species